CCUACGGGAGGCAGCAGUAGGGAAUAUUGCUCAAUGGGGGAAACCCUGAAGCAGCAACGCCGCGUGUAGGAUGAAGGUUUUCGGAUUGUAAACUCCUUUUGUUAGAGAAGAUAAUGACGGUAUCUAACGAAUAAGCCCCGGCUAACUCCGUGCCAGCAGCCGCGGUAAUACGGAGGGUGCAAGCGUUACUCGGAAUCACUGGGCGUAAAGAGCGCGUAGGCGGGAUAGCAAGUCAGAUGUGAAAUCCUAUGGCUUAACCCUCGAACUGCAUUUGAAACUGUUAUUCUAGAGUAUGGGAGAGGUAGGUGGAAUUCUUGGUGUAGGGGUAAAAUGCGUAGAGAUCAAGAGGAAUACUCAGUGCGAAGGCGACCUGCUAGAACAUAACUGACGCUGAUGCGCGAAAGCGUGGGGAGCAAACAGGAUUAGAUACCCUAGUAGUC
rnacentral:rRNA from 1 species